rnacentral:rRNA from 1 species
AUUGAACGCUGGCGGCAGGCCUAACACAUGCAAGUCGAACGAGCGGCGGACGGGUGAGUAAUGUCUGGGAAACUGCCCGAUGGAGGGGGAUAACUACUGGAAACGGUAGCUAAUACCGCAUACCAUCAGAUGUGCCCAGAUGGGAGUAGCUAGUGGGUGGGGUAACGGCUCACCAAGGCGACGAUCCCUAGCUGGUCUGAGAGGAUGACCAGCCACACGGGAAAGGAGACACGGUCCAGACUCCUACGGGAGGAAGCAGUGGGGAAUAUUGCACAAUGGGCGCAAGCCUGAUGCAGCCAUGCCGAGUGUAUGAAGAAGGCCUUCGGGUUGUAAAGUACUUUCAGCGGGGAGGCGUUACCCGCAGAAGAAGCACCGGCUAACUCCGUGCCAGCAGCCGCGGUAAUUC